rnacentral:rRNA from 1 species
UCAAGCUACAAAGAGCACAAGGGGAAUGCCUUGGCACCGAGAGCCGAAGAAGGACGUGACUAACUGCGAUAAGCUGCGGGGAGCCGUAAGUAGGCUUUGAUCCGCAGAUUUCCGAAUGGAGCAAUCCGGCAAGAGGAAAGUCUUGUCAUCAUAUACUGAAUACAUAGGUAUAUGAGGGGAACCGCCUGAACUGAAACAUCUAAGUAGGGCGAGGAAGAGAAAUCAACUGAGAUUCCGUAAGUAGUGGCGAGCGAACGCGGAAGAGGCCAAACCGAGAGUAGUAAUACUUUCGGGGUUCGGACAGAAUACGGUAUUGUAAAGGUUUAGUGGAAUGGAAUGGGAAGUCCAACCGAAGAAGGUGAGAGUCCUGUACACGAAAAGCCUGAACAGCCAUCUGUAUCCAGAGUACCGCCGGACACGUGAAACCCGGUGGGAAUACGGGGGGACCAUCCUCCAAGCCUAAAUACUACUCGGUGACCGAUAGUGAAGAAGUACUGUGAAGGAAAGGUGAAAAGUACCCCUGACGGGGAGUGAAAAAGAACCUGAAACCUUGUGUUUACAAGCACCGAAAGCUCAUCAAAGAGCGAUCGGGUACCUUUUGUAGAAUGGUCCGGCGAGUGAAUGUAACCGGCGAGGUUAAGCACUUAAGGUGUGAAGCCGCAGCGAGAGCAAGUCUGAAUAGGGCGUAUGAAGUCGGUUGUAUUCGACCCGAAACCGGGUGACCUACCCAUGGUCAGGUUGAAGUAAAGGUAAAACUUUAUGGAGGACCGAACCGACUCCCGUUGAAAUGGUAGCGGAUGAACUGUGGGUAGCGGAGAAAUUCCAAUCGAACCCGGAGAUAGCUGGUUCUCUCCGAAAUAGCUUUAGGGCUAGCCUUGAAAUAGAUUACCGGAGGUAAAGCACUGAAUUGGCUAGGGGCCGAGAGGUUACUGAACCUUAUCAAACUAAGAAUGCCGGAUAAUCGUUUUUCAGGAGUCAGACAGUGGGAGAUAAGUUUCAUUGUCAAAAGGGAAACAGCCCAGACCCACAGCUAAGGUCCCCAAGUAUAGUUAAGUGGAAAAGGAUGUGGAAUUGCACAGACAACCAGGAUGUUGGCUUAGAAGCAGCCACUCAUUAAAAGAGUGCGUAAUAGCUCACUGGUCGAGUGACUCUGCGCCGAAAAUUUAACGGGGCUAAACUAUACACCGAAGCUUGGGAUACAUCUAAUGUAUGGUAGGAGAGCGUUCUGUAUGGGGUGAAGUCGUAGCGAAAGCGGCGGUGGACUGUACAGAAGUGAGAAUGCCGGAAUAAGUAGCGAGAAUUAAGUGAGAAUCUUAAUGGCCGAAAGUCUAAGGUUUUUGGAGGAAGGUUCGUCCGCUCCAAGUAAGUCGGGAGCUAAGGUCAGGCCGAAAGGCGUAGCCGAUGCACAUACGGUUGAUAUUCCGUAACCAUCUGUAAUUUAAGCAAAGGGACACUUCAAAAGGGUGUGACCCGGGCGUUGGUUGACCCGGGCGUAAGGGACCGAAAUUAGAGUAGGGAAGCACACUUGGCUGAAGGCGAGAAAAGCUUUGCGUAUAGAAACAGAUGCCCGUACCGCAAACCGACACAGGUGGACAGGAAGAGAAUUCUAAGGCCAGCGGGAGAAGGGUAGUUAAGGAACUCGGCAAAUUGACUCCGUAACUUCGGAAUAAGGAGUGCUCGAAAGAGCCGCAGAGAAUAGGCCCAGGCGACUGUUUAGCAAAAACACAGGUCUCUGCCAAAUCGAAAGAUGAAGUAUAGGGGCUGACACCUGCCCGGUGCCGGAAGGUUAAGAGGAGGAGUGAGAGCUCCGAAUUGAAGCCCCGGUAAACGGCGGCCGUAACUAUAACGGUCCUAAGGUAGCGAAAUUCCUUGUCGGGUAAGUUCCG